UACGAAGGGGGCUAGCGUUGCUCGGAAUCACUGGGCGUAAAGCGCACGUAGGCGGGUCAUUGAUGAGCAGGGGUGAAAUCCUGGAGCUCAACUCCAGAACUGCCUUUGAUACUGGAGAUCUUCGAGUUCCGGGAGAGGUGAGUGGAACUGCGAGUGUAGAGGUGAAAUUCGUAGAUAUUCGCAAGAACACCAGUGGCGAAGGCGGCUCACUGGCCCGGUACUGACGCUGAGGUGCGAAAGCGUGGGGAGCAAACAGGG
rnacentral:rRNA from 1 species